UUGUUAUGAUAAUGUAGUCUUCUACCAAGACCCGAAUGUUUUGUUAUGAUAAUGUAGUCUUCUACCAAGACCUGAAUGUUUUGUUAUGAUAAUGUAGUCUUCUACCAAGACCUAAAUGUUUUGUUAUGAUAAUGUAGUCUUCUACCAAGACCCGAAUGUUUUGUAAGUGAAAUGAUAGUUUUUCCUUUCUAUUGACUAGGACUAAAAGUACUUUGUCUAACUCAUCGUUUAUGUGAACAUAUCACAAAAUAACGUAAACCGAAAAAAUAUACUCGUGUAAGUGUUGUCACUGGGUACUAGGACUAACAUAACAUCGCAAUAAGCGAAAUAGAUAACCUAAUGAACAUCCGAAGAUUGUCCAGAAAAGUAUUAAUGUAAGUGUUAUCACUGGGUACUAGGAGUACACAACAUCGCAAUAAGCGAAAGGUAUAACCUAAUGAA
rnacentral:lncRNA from 1 species